GAUGAACGCUGGCGGCGUGCCUAAUACAUGCAAGUCGAGCGAACGGACGAGAAGCUUGCUUCUCUGAUGUUAGCGGCGGACGGGUGAGUAACACGUGGAUAACCUACCUAUAAGACUGGGAUAACUUCGGGAAACCGGAGCUAAUACCGGAUAAUAUUUUGAACCGCAUGGUUCAAAAGUGAAAGACGGUCUUGCUGUCACUUAUAGAUGGAUCCGCGCUGCAUUAGCUAGUUGGUAAGGUAACGGCUUACCAAGGCAACGAUGCAUAGCCGACCUGAGAGGGUGAUCGGCCACACUGGAACUGAGACACGGUCCAGACUCCUACGGGAGGCAGCAGUAGGGAAUCUUCCCGCAUGGGGCGAAGCCCUGACGGAGCACGCCGCGUGAGUGAUGAAGGUCUUCGGAUCGUNAAACUCUGUUAUUAGGGAAGAACAUAUGUGUAAGUAACUGUGCACAUCUUGACGGUACCUAAUCAGAAAGCCACGGCUAACUACGUGCCAGCAGCCGCGGUAAUACGUANGUGGCAAGCGUUAUCCGGAAUUAUUGGGCGUAAAGCGCGCGUAGGCGGUUUUUUAGUCUGAUGUGAAAGCCCACGGCUCAACCGUGGAGGGUCAUUGGAAACUGGAAAACUUGAGUGCAGAAGAGGAAAGUGGAAUUCCAUGUGUAGCGGUGAAAUGCGCAGAGAUAUGGAGGAACACCAGUGGCGAAGGCGACUUUCUGGUCUGUAACUGACGCUGAUGUGCGAAAGCGUGGGGAUCAAACAGGAUUAGAUACCCUGGUAGUCCACGCCGUAAACGAUGAGUGCUAAGUGUUAGGGGGUUUCCGCCCCUUAGUGCUGCAGCUAACGCAUUAAGCACUCCGCCUGGGGAGUACGACCGCAAGGUUGAAACUCAAAGGAAUUGACGGGGACCCGCACAAGCGGUGGAGCAUGUGGUUUAAUUCGAAGCAACGCGAAGAACCUUACCAAAUCUUGACAUCCUUUGACAACUCUAGAGAUAGAGCCUUCCCCUUCGGGGGACAAAGUGACAGGUGGUGCAUGGUUGUCGUCAGCUCGUGUCGUGAGAUGUUGGGUUAAGUCCCGCAACGAGCGCAACCCUUAAGCUUAGUUGCCAUCAUUAAGUUGGGCACUCUAAGUUGACUGCCGGUGACAAACCGGAGGAAGGUGGGGAUGACGUCAAAUCAUCAUGCCCCUUAUGAUUUGGGCUACACACGUGCUACAAUGGACAAUACAAAGGGCAGCGAAACCGCGAGGUCAAGCAAAUCCCAUAAAGUUGUUCUCAGUUCGGAUUGUAGUCUGCAACUCGACUACAUGAAGCUGGAAUCGCUAGUAAUCGUAGAUCAGCAUGCUACGGUGAAUACGUUCCCGGGUCU
rnacentral:rRNA from 1 species